rnacentral:lncRNA from 1 species
UUCUGCAACAAUUCCUCGGCUUUGAUUUUCCUGCAAAUAAAAGAAACUUUCUAAAUAUAACAACACAACAAAUAUUUUUGUCUCAGAGCACUUAUCAUAGCUGCAGUCUGACUGUUGCUACCAGUUAAUGUCUCAUUUCUUUUGUCAAUCAAAAAUAAUGGAAAUACAGGCAUACAAUUAAGUUAGGACUUUGAAUGAAGGGGUUAUGUCUAUUUCUUGUCUUCUUUGGCUUGAGGCCAUUUUGAGUAACCAACUAUGGGUCUUUUAAAUAGUUAUUAUUAGGCAAUUGUGAACUUAUGUUUUGUGUGUGAAAUCCUCACCUGCCCUUGAUCCCAUCCAGCAGGGAAGCUAUUUGAAAAUGUAUUGCUGCCUUGGUUUUGAACAUACUACUCGUAACUACAACAGCCCCAAAUAAUCAUUUUCAAUGUAUUAGAAGGAGUAAUGGUGGCAAAGAAAGCAGAACUGCAAGUGGAGCUGCAGUGUUUACUUGUUGGUAGACAGAUGAAAAGGAGCAGGCUGUGUCCUCUUGGAAUCAAGCGCAAAGCACACUUCACUUCUGAUGACUGCAAAGCUUAACCCUGGCUAUGGUAUACUAAUGGGGGUUUUAUUGAUGAAUUAAUCAUGUAGUGGCACCCGAUGGAGCACAACUUGGCUAGCCAGGUGAAAACUUUAUUUUCUGCUCCUUUAUAUUAUAAGACAAGAACACAGAUUUUUCAAAACUAUUGUAUAUCGGCGGUGAACUUGCUUAACCAGCGUUUUUAAAAAUCAAUUAUUAUACACAAAGCAAGUGGGAGGAGACUCCUGGUGUAGGUGGAUGAUUUGUGUUGCUAACUAUGCUACCGGAGCCAUCUUCAUGUCUUUGAUAAAUCAGAAUAGCCCUGCUUGCUGAGGAUGUAUAAGGGCAAAGCACAGCAAGCUUGAUGAAGUACUGAGGAUAACUAAGGGCAGAGAGCUUAAAUGGGAGGCAUGAUUGUACAGGUUUUAAGGGCAGAUUACAUUAAGUGAGUUAAUGUGGCUAUCUAAGGACACAGAGCAUGCCCAGUAUGUGGCUGUGGCUUUUUAAACACUCAAAGCAUGCUUUUGUACACAGCUCCUUAUGCCACAUAAUCCCUAAAGAUGCCAUUUUAUGCCAUCUGGCUUUUGUUAUUCUCAGUCAGCAUUUCUAGAUUUUUUUUCCCACUGUGAAACAUGUUUCCCUUUCAUUUUGGAGUUAUUUUUUAUUUUGCUCAAAGCUUAUCCUGCAUACCAAUAAAUCAAAUCAUAUUUCAAUGGUUUAAGGCA